CGCGUGGCGGGUGCUAUACAUGCAGUCGAGCGACGGACGAGAAGCUUGCUUCUCUGAUGUUAGCGGCGGACGGGUGAGUAACACGUGGAUAACCUACCUAUAAGACUGGGAUAACUUCGGGAAACCGGAGCUAAUACCGGAUAAUAUUUUGAACCGCAUGGUUCAAAAGUGAAAGACGGUCUUGCUGUCACUUAUAGAUGGAUCCGCGCUGCAUUAGCUAGUUGGUAAGGUAACGGCUUACCAAGGCAACGAUGCAUAGCCGACCUGAGAGGGUGAUCGGCCACACUGGAACUGAGACACGGUCCAGACUCCUACGGGAGGCAGCAGUAGGGAAUCUUCCGCAAUGGGCGAAAGCCUGACGGAGCAACGCCGCGUGAGUGAUGAAGGUCUUCGGAUCGUAAAACUCUGUUAUUAGGGAAGAACAUAUGUGUAAGUAACUGUGCACAUCUUGACGGUACCUAAUCAGAAAGCCACGGCUAACUACGUGCCAGCAGCCGCGGUAAUACGUAGGUGGCAAGCGUUAUCCGGAAUUAUUGGGCGUAAAGCGCGCGUAGGCGGUUUUUUAAGUCUGAUGUGAAAGCCCACGGCUCAACCGUGGAGGGUCAUUGGAAACUGGAAAACUUGAGUGCAGAAGAGGAAAGUGGAAUUCCAUGUGUAGCGGUGAAAUGCGCAGAGAUAUGGAGGAACACCAGUGGCGAAGGCGACUUUCUGGUCUGUAACUGACGCUGAUGUGCGAAAGCGUGGGGAUCAAACAGGAUUAGAUACCCUGGUAGUCCACGCCGUAAACGAUGAGUGCUAAGUGUUAGGGGGUUUCCGCCCCUUAGUGCUGCAGCUAACGCAUUAAGCACUCCGCCUGGGGAGUACGACCGCAAGGUUGAAACUCAAAGGAAUUGACGGGGACCCGCACAAGCGGUGGAGCAUGUGGUUUAAUUCCAAAGCAACGCGAGAAACCUUACCAAAUCUUGACAUCCUUUGACAACUCUAGAAGAUAGAAGCCUUCCCCCUUCGGGGGACAAAAGUGACAGGUGGGUGCAUGGGUUGUCCGCCACCUCCGGGCCCGGAGAAUGUUGGGGUUAAGUCCCCGCAACGAAGGGCAACCCCUUAAGCUUAA
rnacentral:rRNA from 1 species